CCUACGGGAGGCAGCAGUGAGGAAUAUUGGUCAAUGGACGAGAGUCUGAACCAGCCAAGGAGCGUGAAGGAUGACUGCCCUAUGGGUUGUAAACUUCUUUUAUAUGGGAAUAAAAUGUUCCCCGUGUGGUAUUUUGUAUGUACCAUAUGAAUAAGGAUCGGCUAACUCCGUGCACGCCGCCGCGGUAAUACGGAGGAUCCGCGCGUUAUCCUGAUUUAUUGGGUUUAAAGGGAGCGUAGGUGGAUUGUUAAGUCAGUUGUGAAAGUUUGCGGCUCAACCGUAAAAUGGCAGUUGAAACUGGCAGUCUUGAGUACAGUAGAGGUGGGCGGAAGUCGUGGUGUAGCGGUGAAAUGCUUAGAUAUCACGAAGAACUCCGAUUGCGAAGGAAGUUCACUGGACUGCAACUGACACUGAGGCUCGAAAGUGUGGGUAUCAAACAGGAUUAGAUACCCGAGUAGUC
rnacentral:rRNA from 1 species